UAAAAGUUUGAUUCUUGCUUUAGUUUUUGUUUUAAAAUUAUAUGCACAUGUAUAUUUUAGUGGGAUUAAGGUAUGAGUAUUUAAGAUAUUUAUAUUAAAGUAAAAUUUAUGAAAAGGUCGCAGUGUGGAGUUUUAAACGAUUGAAUGUAGGUUUGAUUUAGUGAAUUUUAAAAGACUUGAUGAAAUUUUGUGCCAGCAGUCGCGGUUAGACUUAGAAGUCAAAUAAAGAUGUUUCGGUUAAAGUUAAUAAUUACGACAUUUAGAGAUUAAUUGGAAUUUGGUUAAAUAAAAGGUGGAAUUGAUCUAUUUAAAAUAAAUUGAAGUUAAUUUUUAAAUUAUAAGAGGCUUGAAAAAUUAAGGUAUAAAAUAGGAUUAGAUACCCUGCUAUACUUAAAAGAAAUAAACUGACUUGAAUAUUAAUAGUUAUAGGCUUUAAAUUCAAAGAAUUUGGCGGUAUUUUAGUCUUGUUAGAGGAACCUGUUCUGUAAAUGAUACUACACGAAGGAUCUUACUUACUUUUGUUUUUCAGUUUGUAUACCGUCAUUAUUAGAUAACCUUUAUUGGGGGAGUUGUUGAGAUAUAAUAAGUUUAAAUAUAUUAGAUCAAGGUGCAGCUAAUAGGUGAGAAGAAAUGGGUUACAAUGAAAUUUAUUUAAACGUAUUGAUAGUUGAAUAUAUUAUCAUGAAGGAGGAUUUAAUUGUAAUGUAAAUUUAAUAAGUUAAUAUGAUAUGAGAACUAAAAUAUGUACAUAUCGCCCGUCGCUUCCAUUUAAGGUGGAAUAAGUCGUAACAUAGUAGGUGUACUGGAAGGUGCACCUAGAAUUAU
rnacentral:ncRNA from 1 species